GCUUCUGAUUUUAGUGACAGUUGUACAAGACACUAUACGUAUAAACAAACACUUUCCCUUGUGUUUCAGGACUCUGUGGAUAAAUAAGCAUCGCUGUCACCCUACAACGAAGUGCCGGCUCCCCUCCUGUAAUGCGUCAGCCCUCCCUGACAAGCAGAUAUUCCAGGCCGUGCUGUCUCGGGAAGAGCCUUCUUUGAAACAGUCCUGUGGGGAGAAGCGGCUGAGGACGCGUUCCCCCUGACAGAGCCGGACAGGCAGCCUGGUGCCUGAGGGACACGGUAGGUCCACCCCCCGCUGAGAGCACGGCGGGGCGGGGAAUUCCCUCCCUGUAUUGGCAGCAGGGAAGUG
rnacentral:lncRNA from 1 species